rnacentral:rRNA from 1 species
GGAUCAAUAUGUUGGUCGUGCCUUGGUACGUACUAGUUUAUUGGUUUCUUCCUUCUGACGAACCAUGAUGUCAUUAAUUUGGUGUCUUGGGGAAUCAGGACUGUUACUUUGAAAAAAUUAGAGUGUUUAAAGCAGGCUCACGCUUGAAUACAUUAGCAUGGAAUAAUGAAAUAGGACGUUUGAUUCUAUUUUGUUGGCUUUCGGAGUCGAGGUA